GCUCUACCUGCAGUGGGGUAGGAGUUCCCCUGGGUAACACCCUGUAAUGCCAAGAGAGGUUUUAGGAUUGAGUUUCAGGGUGGAGUCCAGAAAUGGGGGUGUAAAGUAAUCGUUUCAAAGAAGUGUAGUCUCAAGUGUCGUUGGGUUGUUAGGGUUGGGGAAAGGAGAGCUGCAGCUGUGAAUGUAAAUACAUAGAUCACUCGUUCAGAAAUCAGGGCUGCUUGUCACAAAUGCAGUGCUGCCAGGUUCCUGAGAUCAUACCCACACACCCUCCUAGUGAGAGAGUCUACUAGGAUGGGGAGCAUCAAAACUGGCUUAUCUUUGUGCCUCUGGGGUGUUUGCACACCAAUUUAUAUUUACCAUAGUAAUAUAGUAUGUAAAGCUUAGUAGGUUAAGAAAUGUUAAAAUAAAACUUAGAUUUAUCCUAGAUUAUGUUUUUGUUAAAACUUGGCCGUUCUUUGGAAACAGAACUAUUUUAAGUAUUCUAUUAGCCUGUUAUUUUUUCCUGAAGAGACUUUGUUGCUAUUGUUAAUAUUUAUCCCUACCUUUUCUUUAAAGCAAUAGAGUUAAUGAAGGGAAGUAUAUUUAUUUAUACCUAUAUUCUGUGUUCUUGCUACUAGAAGUGUAACUUGGGGACCAGCAGCUUCUGUAUCACCAGGGUGUUGGUUAGAAAUGCAGAGUGACUCCACCCCAUAGCCACUGGGUCAGAACGUGCAUUUUAACAAGUGAUUGCAGGUUCAAGUUUAAGAGAUACAUGUUCUGUGUAUGUGCACACUGUUAAAUUUUUAUAGAAUUUAAAUGCUGUGAAUGCGGUAGGAAAAUCGAUUCAUUUUUGAUCCACUGUUCUUAGAAGUAGGCUAUUGGAUGCCUACCCAAUAUAUAACAUAAAUAUAUGUAUUUUCUGUCAAAUCCUUUAUGAGCUUCGUUUUUGGUAAUAUUUGAUGACAUAUCAGUUAUAUUCAAAAUUUCUGAUGGUCUCUCUCUCUCUGUCUCUCUCCCUCUCCUCCUCUGCCCCUCUCUCCCUCUGUCCCCUGUGACUUGCAUCAUUUUUCUUGAAGACAUUCCAUUAUUGUUCCAUUGACCUUUCCCUCAUCACUGAGUCCUUUGGAGCUGAGUUAUGUCAACAGCUGCCUUAAUUACUUUGGUCAGAAGUGGUGGGAACCAGGUGAGAAGGAGAGUGCUGCUAAGCUCCCGCCUGCUGCAGGACGACAGGCGGGUGACACCCACGUGCCACAGCUCCACUUCAGAGCCUAGGUGUUCUCGGUUUGACCCAGAUGGUAGUGGGAGUCCAGCUACUUGGGACAAUUUUGGGAUCUGGGAUAACCGCAUUGAUGAGCCAAUUCUGCUGCCACCCAGCAUUAAGUAUGGCAAGCCAAUUCCCAAAAUCAGCUUGGAAAAUGUGGGGUGCGCCUCACAGAUUGGCAAACGGAAAGAGAAUGAAGAUCGGUUUGACUUCGCUCAGCUGACAGAUGAGGUCCUGUACUUUGCAGUGUAUGAUGGACACGGUGGACCUGCAGCAGCUGAUUUCUGUCAUACCCACAUGGAGAAAUGUAUUAUGUAUGUACAAUGACUUUCACUCCUGACUUUGCAGUUCCUAUACUUCCUACUUAAACUUUCACCCUUUGGCUGAGGCUUCCAGGGUAAACAUAGUUACUUGAGUGGUUGCAUGCUGCUGCUUCACGAAUGAGCAGUAGUUUAAGUGUGCCAUUUAUUACUUACGGUUAUCACAAUUUCAGAAAUGCAUGUUUUAACAACUCCCCUGGGGAAAGCAUUAACCAAAAUCUAUAGCACUUAAUUUGUGAUCAUUUUAAGUGAAGUGGCAUAAUGUACAUGAGAUAACCUAUGAGAAGCAUUUACUCCCAUCAGUGUAGGACAGAUAAGUGCUUCAGUAAAUGGUAAUUACUCUUUCAAGUGGUGUGAAUAGCUUUGAAUACCUGACUUGUUGAAAAUAGCUUUGGAUGAUUGGCAUUAGUGUGGAAAAAUGCAUUUAAUGCGGGCAUUUUGGAGCUCUUCCGUUUAUUUACUUUAACUAGUAUUAAUGCAUUUUUGAGGAUCACAUUACUGCUAAAAUUGAAAGAGGGAGAACAUGUGAUGGAGUUACGACCAUGUGACUAUUUUUGACUUCCCAGUGACCAUUUCUUGACUUCCUGUGUAUACCGCAUUCCACGAAAGAACUCACAAUAGGAAGGAACUCUCGACCUCUCAGGGUUGUGGUAGUGAGGAUCAAUUCUUCAAGGACAAGGACUUGGACUUUCAUUGUUGUGCCCUUAAAAGCUUAUCACAGUGCCUGAUACUUAGUGGAUUCUCAAUAGGUAUUCCUUAGCCAGUAAGUCUUCAGCAUUUGACAGGAAAAUCCUGAGGCCCAUUGUGUGGAAUGACUGCUAGCUAGAGUAACAGUGAGGAGAAAAACCUAUUGUAAAAUGAUUGUUUAAGGCUCUUUUUUUCCUCCCCACAAAGGGAUUUGCUUCCUAAGGAGAAGAACUUGGAAACUCUGUUGACCUUGGCUUUUCUAGAAAUAGAUAAAGCCUUUUCGAGUCAUGCCCGCCUGUCUGCUGAUGGUAUGUAAAACUAUCACAUUCCUUGGGUCCUAGGGAGUACAUGGGGUUGGGGAGGAGUAAAAAGGAAACAAUUUAAGUCCUUUUGGGGGAGGGGAUUUUAAUGGACAAUUGUUUGUAAGGAUUUAUGUAGAAAUGAGUUUAUAUGAAGAAUCACAUUAAAUGCUGUUGGGAACUCCAAUUAAUGUUAAUACCUCACUUUUAAAUGAAAUAUAUUGGAGAAUUUUUCAGAAAGAGAAGCCCCGAAACAGUUCUGAUGUUGUACUUUAGUUUUUAAAAGAUUUUAAAAAUGUUUAAUCUGUUUGCUCAUUUUAUGGACAAAAUGUCCAUACUAUGAGUUUUGUUUUGGGUUUUUGGUUUUUUUUAAGAUGGAUCUGGUGACCAAGUGCUGAAAUACACUACAGGGUAAUCACAUCUAGCGAGGACAGUCAUUGUCCAACAAGAAAAAAAUUGCAAAUAGGUCCUAAAUAGAAAAAGACAAUGGUUAAUAUGCACUAAUUUGUAUAACUAGAAGGAAAAUAUUUUUCUGUCACUUCUUAAAAAGCUCAAUCUUGCAGCUUUUCUCUGGUAACUAGUGACAUUUUCAGCAUAAGGGCAUGCUAGCUGAAUUUAAAAUUUUGUGUACUGUGUAUGUCCUUAAAUUUUGAAAGUGAAAUGUUUCUGGUUUUGACUAAAUUUAUCAAAACCAUUUCACGAAAAUUCAGCAAACGUUUUCUAGUUAGCUAGUCCCAAAUCUUUUGCUGUUAAAGUUAACCCUGAAAAUUUCUGUACCAGCCAAAUGAAUGUGUGCAUGUAACCUUGUAAAUGAUUUGAAAAUGAAUCAUGCAAUAAUCUUGAUCUGUAUUUGGUUCAUCCUUUUCUUAAAAAAAAGAAAGAAACCAAGUGCACCACAGAAAUGUCAUUUGCACAGUCUUCAGUUGGAAUACAUAAGGAUAGAGAUUGUUUGCAUUUCACAGUGAAGGAACUGAAGAUUAGAGUGGUAAAGGUCAGUUCAGAGUUAGGGCUGGGAUUUUCCUGACCACCAGCAUUCUCUCUCUUCUCUCAUGAGGAGAGGAGAAGGUAACUCUGGGGUGGCUCUAUUUACCAUCUUGAGAUUUUUUCCUGAGCUUUUUUUGAGAACCUUGCUAUCACACUCCUCAGGAAAGCAUUACAGUCCACUCUCUUCAGGGAUAUGUUUUCCAGUUUGUAGAUCAUUUAGGCCCAUUUUCUUUUCUUUCAUUCCUUUGGAAUUUUUCUUUUUCCUUUCAACUGGACCCUUACCUUUAAGAAGACAGAAGUUGAAAGAGGUAAACUUUAUGCAUAAGACUUAGCUCUUGUUCCAAAUAGUUAAAACACAUGAAGGAAAAGAGGAAAUGAAAUAUUUUCUUAUGGUUUUAUUUUUAUUACUUCCUGAAUUUUGGUAUGCUCUUAUUUCAUAAUAACUGAGUUGGCUGUGCAUCUGGCUAUGUCUCACACCACGAUGUUUGUUGACUCUAGUGCCGGUGGUGUGCCCCAGCUGUUCUGUAAAUAGCUGCAGCUUACUGGGCAAGGUUUUUGGAUGAGAAUGUCCAAAUUUAUCCCAGGCAUGUGACCACCAACCAAAAACAUUGACCUUCUCAAUGCCAUCAGCCUCUUUUAAAAGUAUUUAGUCAAUGUAGAUGCUUAAACCAAUCGGUGAUUGACUUGAUGUAAAAUAUGACAGGACUUCUUUUAUUAUUGAAUGAAGUAUAACUCAACAGAAUUUUGAACUUAAAGAAUUUAAUUAACUUGCCUAUCUUAAAAGAAACUUUCUAAAGACACCUUUGUCACAAAAACAUUAAACAGUUGUAUAAAGAAAUUAAUCACAAAAAUGUAAUUCAUAUGCUUACUUCAGCAGCACAUACACUAAAAUUGGAAUGAUACAGAGAUCAGCAUGGUCCUUGUGCAAGGAUGGCACACAAAUGCAUGAAGAGUUCCAUAUUUUUUAUUCUUACUAAAAUUAAUUCAUUUGUAAUAAAGAAAUUAAAAUGCAUUAUUUAAUUUAAUUCCUCUAUCAUAUACUUUGAAGUAAUGAUCCCAGAACAUUCUUAAGAUAUUUUAAAAUGUAUUUUUCAUAUAAUGGUAAUUUGUUUGAAAGUAUAAUGGAGCAAGACAAGAUGAUGCUCUUAGUGUGUACUAAAAGAAAAGGUCUAUUAUAAUAUUGUUAUUAAAUCUUAUUUUGUUAUUAAAUUUGUUAUUUGUUAUUAAAAUCUUAUUUUGUAUAUAU
rnacentral:sRNA from 1 species